rnacentral:rRNA from 1 species
UACAGAGGUCUCGAGCGUUAGGCGGAAUCACUGGGCUUAAAGCGUGUGUAGGCGGGUCGUUAAGUGCCUUGUGAAAUCCCAUGGCUCAACCAUGGAACUGCUGGGCAUACUGGCGAUCUUGUGCCACCUAGGGGCGAGCGGAACAGAUGGUGGAGCGGUGAAAUGCGUAGAUAUCAUCUGGAACGCCAAUGGUGAAAACAGCUCGCUGGGGGUGUGCAGACGCUGAGACACGAGAGCCAGGGGAGCGAACGGG